GAUUCCGUAGCUCAGCUGGGAGAGCGCUACCUUGACAGGGUAGAGGUCGUGGGUUCGAGCCCCGCCGGAAUCA
rnacentral:tRNA from 1 species